GGCCCACUAAUUCGUCUUCUCCCAUGCAAUUCAAUUCAAUUCAAUAAUAGAUUGUAGGUUCGUUUAAGUUUUUUGAUUUAGAAUAGAGCAUCAAAUAUCAGAAUUAUACUUUUUCUUCUGAAUCUGCAAGAUCCUAGUUUAAAAUCCCUUUAAUGGUUAAGUAAGAGGGGAGGUUAAGUAAGAGGGGAGAUAAAGUUGCACAGCAUGAAGUCUGUUGGGUACAAGUUAUGUGAAUGUGAAACUCCAAUGUAUACAGCUGUAAAGUAUAUCUGAUUCAAUAGCAAAAAUAUAAAUUAUUUGACCUCAGAAUAUUCUUUAUGUAUUUAGUUGAUGCCUUUCUGUCAUCAAAUUUAUGGUUGCAAGUGGCAAUCCUUGAAUAUCCUUUUUGUAUCAUGAACCUCAUUCCUCAAUACAGACAAACACUAUUAUUGACUCCAUUGCCAGAACGUCUUUAUAUCAUUCAUUGUGGUUCAGUGUAGACUUGGCUAUCAGUCCGGGCCAGUUCUGUUUCAUGGAGGGAGG
rnacentral:misc_RNA from 1 species